rnacentral:rRNA from 1 species
ACGAGAAGACCCCAUGGAGCUUCAAACCCAAUUACACCCCUAACCCCUAUAACUACUUAACCCUUAGGAUUCUGUAUUAUUGGUUUUAGGUUGGGGCGACCACGGAGUACAACAAAACCUCCACAAUGAACGGAACUACUUCCUCAUCUGAGAGCUACACCUCUAAGAAUUAAAAUAUUAACAUAAAAUGAUCCAUUUUUGAUCAAUGAACCAAGUUACCCUGGGGAUAACAGCGCAAUCCAUUUCAAGAGCCCCUAUCGACAAAUGGGUUUACGACCUCGAUGUUGGAUCAGGGUAUCCUGGUGGUGCAGCAGCUACUAAAGGUUCGUUUGUUCAACGAUCAAAACCCU